rnacentral:rRNA from 1 species
UGUUUGAUGUUCUAACGUGGACCCGUGAUCCGGGUUGCGGACAGUGUCUGGUGGGUAGUUUGACUGGGGCGGUCUCCUCCUAAAGAGUAACGGAGGAGCACGAAGGUUGGCUAAUCCUGGUCGGACAUCAGGAGGUUAGUGCAAUGGCAUAAGCCAGCUUGACUGCGAGCGUGACGGCGCGAGCAGGUGCGAAAGCAGGUCAUAGUGAUCCGGUGGUUCUGAAUGGAAGGGCCAUCGCUCAACGGAUAAAAGGUACUCCGGGGAUAACAGGCUGAUACCGCCCAAGAGUUCAUAUCGACGGCGGUGUUUGGCACCUCGAUGUCGGCUCAUCACAUCCUGGGGCUGAAGUAGGUCCCAAGGGUAUGGCUGUUCGCCAUUUAAAGUGGUACGCGAGCUGGGUUUAGAACGUCGUGAGACAGUUCGGUCCCUAUCUGCCGUGGGCGCUGGAGAACUGAGGGGGGCUGCUCCUAGUACGAGAGGACCGGAGUGGACGCAUCACUGGUGUUCGGGUUGUCAUGCCAAUGGCACUGCCCGGUAGCUAAAUGCGGAAGAGAUAAGUGCUGAAAGCAUCUAAGCACGAAACUUGCCCCGAGAUGAGUUCUCCCUGAGACUUUAGGUCUCCUGAAGGAACGUUGAAGACGACGACGUUGAUAGGCCGGGUGUGUAAGCGCAGCGAUGCGU